rnacentral:tRNA from 2 species
AUAAUAGCUCAGUUGGUAGAGCACUAGCUUCCCAAGCUGGGGGUCGCGGGUUCGAGCCCCGUUUAU